AAGGGACCUUGUGACGUAUUGAGGGGAGGAGCUACGUCACCAGGGGGAGGAGCUACGGGCGAACAGGGUACCCGAAAAGUACCCUCGCGGGCUCGCUUCGCUCGCCACGCUUCGGGCACGGUGGCUCGCUCCGCUCCGCUUCGCUCACCACCUAAUUACUAAAGGUAAUAGUUGGUGGCGUGGAUAGUAGAGGAACUAUCCCGCUGGCCUAGCUCCUCCCCCUUGCGUCGUAACUCCUCCCCCUUACGGAAAAGGUCCCUUAGCCCACUUGAUUCUAGCAUCUACCGUACACUGCAGUGCAGUGCUCCCCACCUGUGUGAUCUGUGAUGUGAGGUGUUCUGCAGCUGCGGUUUGAGCUCCAGGCCCAAGUGCACAUUAAUCUGGCACUGGUUAUAAGCAAGACUACAGCUACACCUUGGCUGAACCCUACACUGCUCCAGGACUACCCUUUAUAUAUAGACUCCUCACCAGGUUGCCAGCUGGACAGGUUGAGAUGCCCCUGGGCACAGAGGCCAGACAGAUGUGUGUCAUGAAUGUGAAUGAAGUUAGGUUACCAGGCAUGGGCAUUGAGUGGGGAGAUUGGAUGCCAAGUACCCGACACUAUAUUGUGGAACCGGCAGUGGCGAUUAUGAUGGGGUACCAAUUACUGGACAUUCGGAGGUGCUACCAGAGACAAGUUGAAUUAUACGAAAAGAGGGGGGAGAAGAAAGAAUGUCUCUUUUGCUGGCGCACAAAUAAUAAUUAAAAAAUUAACCUUUAAUGGAUUCAUUAAAAUUGUCUAACCACGAAAUAAAG